AUGUGCAGACUUACGAUGGUAUAGCUUGUCUAAGCUGAAAUGACGCGCCCCACUACAUAAUUUUGUUGACUUAGAUGUGUAAAUUGCGGUAUUGGGGCGCGUCAUUUCAAAAUAGACA